UGACCUCGGAUCAGGUAGGAAUACCCGCUGAACUU
rnacentral:rRNA from 3 species